GACAUACUCCCUCCGUCCCAAAAUUCUUGUCUGAGAUUUGUCUAAAUACGGAUGUAUCAAGUCAUGUUUUAGUAUUAGAUACAUCCGUAUCUAGACAAAUCUAAGGCAAGAAUUUUGGGAUGGAGGGAGUAUUUU
rnacentral:pre_miRNA from 1 species